GUCUACGGUUCAUACCACCCUGAACGUGCCCGAUCUCGUCUGAUCUCAGAAGCUAAGCAGGGUCGGGCCUGGUUAGUACUUGGAUGGGAGAAACAGCAGAAUUUUUUAUUUUGUUGCCC
rnacentral:rRNA from 1 species